AGUGCUUGGUUGAUGCACUCAAAGGCCGUCUUGUAGCCAUCUUUGAUCACCUCAAGUCUUGCAUUGUUGAAUGCAUCCUCUUUCGCCUUUUCCAUGUCCUCUGAAAUAAGACGCAUCCAAAAAUCGGGAUCAUUCUGAGGAGGAUGUGACUGGCGUGUCUUCAUGGUGUCAUCACAUCAUCGCUUUGGAAUUGCCCGGCCGCAAUAACUCAAAGCGACACAUUUCGAGACGAUAAAACAAAGGUCAAUUUGACCUGCAGUAUAACAGGAUGGUUAACACGGAAAGAUUAAGCGUGGGUAAGUGUUUCAUUUUCAGUUUUCAUUUUAUUUAUCACUCGAUGACGAAAAAGCUUAUGUCGAUGAAAAAAAACAAUAAAAUAAAAUGGCAUGUAAAAGUAAAAGUCAGUCAUAUAUAUAUAUAUAUAUAUAUGCUGUAUAUAUAUUGGAAUAGUAUGAAAUUCAGCAGGUGAAAUCGACACGUGAACAUUUGUGGCGUGGCAAAGAAACAAAUAAUAAUUUCAGUUGAGUCACGGCGGUCCGCUGUUGAGGUUCUGAGUACGAGCGAACAUGUCGCCUGCCUGGUAUCACUUAAGGACAAGCGUCGUACCGCGUCGGAGGUGCCACAUCCACAGAAAUUGCAAUCCAUGACUCAAUCGUCGAUUGGACCAGCACUGCUGAGUUGUAUGGAAAAAAAUCGAAUCAAAUCACAAAGCAAAUGGAAAGCCAUUGGGUCUUCCAACAGAUGUUUUCUUAAUCCUCCGUGUGUCUACUGCACAAAGAGUUGCCGGCUUCACAAUGAAUCCAUGGCCUACGAAGUCGGAGGCUAUGUAUAAAGUUUUGUGAAUGCGCUACAAUGUUUGCGAAGGUUUGUGUGUGCAGUGACGCAUUAAACAGCGGCGUUCCUUUGAAGAGGUGGUGUUAGCUGUAAAUUCCGUCAAGUUAAGCUCGAGCAUCCUGAAUCUGGGAUUUCCUUUACUCGCCACACCACCAGCUUUCCAUUGGAUUUCCUUUGCCGACAUGUGUUUAAAACAUUAUGUAACCAGUGACGGAUGCGGCACGAGAAGGUUGAGGUCAUUUCCCAUGUUUCGCUGCGAUCGGUUUGCAGAUGCUUUCUCAGCGAUUGUGCACAGGAGGAUAGUUAGUUAGCCUGCCAGUUAGCCUAAUGUGCUAAUUGAAGCUAUAGUGUUGUUGUUCGGUUGUACAGUCAUAUUUUCGAGUUGUCGACCGCUCAAAAGAAGUUGUUAACAGGCUGGGCAGUACAUGUAUUAGUAAUAGAAUAAUAUAUGCAUCUAUUUCCUUUUAACGUGUGCUAUUUUAUUUAUUAUUUCUUAUUGAUUUCCCUGCGGGGAUUAUAUUAUUUAUAAUAUGUUAAAUAGAUAUUGAAAAUAAAAUAUAAUAAUAUAUAUAAAAUUAAAGAAGGAAAAAGAAUUGCAUAAGAAAAAAAACCAUUUCAUAUAGAAGUUACAAAAAGCAUGCAAUCUUCUAUUUUUGUGUCCUAAAAAAACCAGAACAUGUUUGUGUGUGUGUGUGUUUGUUUGCGUGCGUGCCUGCGUUUAAUGGGGCUAAUUGAUGGUGUACCGUUCGUUGUGCAAUGACAGCAGGAAAAGUGUGAGUGGUGAACCUUGUCGCCAGGAAAAUCGUGGGUGUAGAAACGCCUCCACCCCCCACGGGUGCAACAACCCCAGUAGAGGUUUGUGUGGGAGUUGAAACCUUUUACCAGGAAAAGUGCCAGUGUUGUAACACACCCCUGAUGCUGUCAUCAACCAUCUAAUCUAAUAGAAGCAAGGAUAGUUUAGCUCAGUAAAUGGCUGAAAGUGAAGAGGAAAUAGACUGGUAUUGUGCGGUCAUUGGGUUUUGUUGUUCUUUUGGAAUCUUUUGCCAAAAUAUGUCAGACAUACAUUAUAAGACAGAGACUACAGUGUUUAGUCUGGAAACAUUGGAACCCCCCCCCAAAUCAUGCGUAGAGUUCCACAGGGCUUACUUCUGGGUCCACUUUCAUUGAAUCUCAAUGUACUCCCCUAAUAUUAUACUCUCCAAUAUUAUUGACAGUUUUAUACAUGUAGCAUAGCCAUUAAUGGAUCGACUCAGAAUUACCUUUGAUUCAUGCUUGAAUCGAACAGUUUGUUGCGCAGUCAAAUGGACGUGCUGUUGAUUAAUUUGAUCCAAAACAUACUCGCAACACCCAAAGCAAACAUACAGACCUCACACUACUGCAGGCCAGUCCAUUUGGAUACACAUGAAACAGUUUUUCCAUUUCAAAUCUGUUGUUAAGAGCGUCCCAAAUCAGACGGCCAGGUUCUCCAUCCGCCAUCAAUUAUUCCGACUUGGCCACGGAUGAAGAAUUUAACAAUAUUAAACGCGUGCA